UACGUAGGGCGCAAGCGUUGUCCGGAAUUAUUGGGCGUAAAGAGCUCGUAGGCGGCUUGUCGCGUCGUCCGUGAAAACUUAGGGCUCAACCCCAAGCUUGCGGUCGAUACGGGCAGGCUCGAGUUCGGUAGGGGAGACUGGAAUUCCUGGUGUAGCGGUGAAAUGCGCAGAGAUCAGGAGGAACACCCGUAGCGAAGGCGGCACUCUGGGCCGAUACUGACACUGAGGAGCGAAAGCGUGGGGAGCGAACAGG
rnacentral:rRNA from 1 species